rnacentral:rRNA from 1 species
GCUUAACGCGAAGAACCUUACCCAGGCUUGACAUCCAUGUGAAACCUCCUGGAAACAGGAGGCCUCCUUCGGGACACUUGGACAGGUGCUGCAUGGCUGUCGUCAGCUCGUGUCGUGAGAUGUUGGGUUAAGUCGCGCAACGAGCGCAACCCCUGUCCUUAGUUGCCAUCAGAUAAAGCUGGGCACUCUAGGGAGACAAACCCUCUCUGAGGGUGGGAAGGUGGGGAUGACGUCAAGUCAGGAUGGCCCUUACGGCCUGGGCUGCACACGUGCUACAAUGCCCGGUACAGAGGGGCGCAAUACCGCGAGGUGGAGCAAAUCCCAAAAACCGGGCCCAGUUCAGAUUGCAGUCUGCAACUCGACUGCAUGAAGCCGGAAUCGCUAGUAAUGGCGUAUCAGCUACGACGCCGUGAAUACGUUCCCGGGUCUUGUACACACCG